AUUGAACGCUGGCGGCAGGCCUAACACAUGCAAGUCGAACGGUAACAGGAAGAAGCUUGCUUCUUUGCUGACGAGUGGCGGACGGGUGAGUAAUGUCUGGGAAACUGCCUGAUGGAGGGGGAUAACUACUGGAAACGGUAGCUAAUACCGCAUAAUGUCGCAAGACCAAAGAGGGGAACCUUCGGGCCUCUUGCCAUCGGAUGUGCCCAGAUGGGAUUAGCUAGUAGGUGGGGUAACGGCUCACCUAGGCGACGAUCCCUAGCUGGUCUGAGAGGAUGACCAGCCACACUGGAACUGAGACACGGUCCAGACUCCUACGGGAGGCAGCAGUGGGGAAUAUUGCACAAUGGGCGCAAGCCUGAUGCAGCUAUGCCGCGUGUAUGAAGAAGGCCUUCGGGUUGUAAAGUACUUUCAGCGGGGAGGAAGGGAGUAAAGUUAAUACCUUUGCUCAUUGACGUUACCCGCAGAAGAAGCACCGGCUAACUCCGUG
rnacentral:rRNA from 1 species